rnacentral:rRNA from 1 species
GAUGAACGCUGGCGGCGUGCCUAAUACAUGCAAGUCGAGCGAAUGGAUUAAGAGCUUGCUCUUAUGAAGUUAGCGGCGGACGGGUGAGUAACACGUGGGUAACCUGCCCAUAAGACUGGGAUAACUCCGGGAAACCGGGGCUAAUACCGGAUAACAUUUUGAACCGCAUGGUUCGAAAUAGAAAGGCGGCUUCGGCUGUCACUUAUGGAUGGACCCGCGUCGCAUUAGCUAGUUGGUGAGGUAACGGCUCACCAAGGCAACGAUGCGUAGCCGACCUGAGAGGGUGAUCGGCCACACUGGGAUUGAGACACGGCCCAGACUCCUACGGGAGGCAGCAGUAGGGAAUCUUCCGUAAUGGAAGAAAGUCUGACGGAGCAACGCCGAGUGAGUGAUGAAGGCUUUCGGGUCGUAAAACUCUGUUGUUAGGGAAGAACAAGUGCUAGUUGAAUAAGCUGGCACCUUGACGGUACCUAACCAGAAAGCCACGGCUAACUACGUGCCAGCCGCCGCCGUAA